UAGCCUAGUGGUUAGGGUUUGGAUCGCCAAUCCGGAGACGGCGGGUUCGAUUCCCGC
rnacentral:tRNA from 1 species